AUUCUACGUGGCAAAUCAAAUGGGUAUUCAUGUCAGUUGUUGCAUGCCAUGUGUAAACUAAAACCCACCAAAUAAAUAAUUAAAAUCACAAAAUUAAUUAAAAGAAAACUUGAAAAUAAAAUAAAAACAAAAUGCUUUAAAAAAAAUAAAAACUCCAAAAUAAAUAAAAAAGGGUAUUAAAAUCUUUUCGAAACAUAAAACCAGAAAAAAUCCAAACAUCUUCUCCAUUUCCUUUGAUUGAUAAAAGAGAGUGGACACUUUGAAACACAGACGUGAGUGAGGAGGAACAACUAUUUCUGCUACUAUUGAGGAGUAGAGUGUGUACGAGUGCAAUGCAAUAUUGGAGGCGAGGUUCCGACGACCCCCCACUUGCAAAGCUUUCUAAACAGUGCGAAAUUGUGGAAAUUUCUAGGGAUUGAAGAUGGUGAAUUUACAGUGAAACUCAUACAUGGGGGUAGAUGGUUUUCCCCAUGUGAAAACAGGAGACAUAAGGGAGGGACCUGUGACUAUUUUGACCACUGCAAGGUUAAAAAUUUUAGAAGGCAUGAUUUGAAGGAUAUGGCAAGUGGGCUUCAAUAUAGUUUUUCUUUUAGUUUUUUAUUCAAGCUUUAUGGGAAGUACUUGAACAUGGGAGUUAUGGUAGUUGAUAAGGCUGAAAUUGAAUUUAAGUUGGAGGAUUGGCAGGUAAAAAUAUACAGAUGCUUUUCUGUAUUUGGUGCCACCAGAUCCAUAUUUAUUAGUGGAGUGGAAGGAGGAUCCUGAAGCUGUUAAGAUGUAGAAAUCAAAAGAAGCUUCUAAACUGGAGAAAUGUAAAUGUGAGGAGUUGCCUACAAACUGCACAAUUUUUCCUAAUGUUGUUGUGUAUCCUCCAAGGCAUGUUAAUGUGGAUGAUAAAUUUUACAAUUUCUUUGUUAAGUAGGAUGAGUUUAUGGUUGUAGUUACAAAAGGGGUUGUUAUUUAAGAAGAAUUACAUGAACCAAUUGCCAUUAGUUCAUCAUCUGAUUUAGAGGCUUCAAUUCAUUUUUCCUCAAAAGAUGUUUAUGACAUGAGUAGUGAGAAUUCAAAUGAGGUGGAUUCAAAUGAGGUUGAUGAAGAAGCUGACUAUUUCAUUCCUCUUGAGAUGGAGGAUUACAUGAUUUGACUAGAGGAAUUAUUUGGAAACAAAAUGAUGGAGACAAUGGCAGUGGAGACUAGCAAUAAUGCUUCUAAUCUCACAAUGGAAGAGGCAAAUAUUUUUACAUUUCAUGAGGUUAGAUUAGAUGAAUUUAGUUUUAGUACUGUUUUAAUUUGUUUCAAUUAUAUUUGCAAUUAAUGAGAUGGAUACUGGCAGGAGGAGGAUAUUCUUGUGCAUAACAUUAUUUUCUACUA